rnacentral:ncRNA from 1 species
UUGGAAGGGACCUCAGGAGGUCAUCUAGUAGUCCAACCCCCUGCAAGAAGCAGGACCAAUCCCCAAUUUUUGCCCCAGAUCCCUAAAUGGCCCCCUCAAGGAUUGAACUUACAACGCUGGGUUUAGCAGGCCAAUGCUCAAACCACUGAGCUAUCCCUCCCCUGGGAGCGAUAUGUCUGCAUAAUAAUUCCACCUCCCCAACAGGCUGGCAACUAGGUGGCCCCUACCUGCGGCUCAUGUGGCUUGCAGCCUCGUGCCCCCAGAGUAUGGGGGGCAGGGGGAGGGGGGGUCUCUCCCCCACGUGCGAUUGCUGAGCCGAGGGUUGGCCCCAGCUGGGCCAUAUUUUCCCCUGGAUAGAGACUUUCAGCCCUACAGGGAUGCCGCCGGGCAGCUUACGGGAAACCAAAGUCUUUGGGUUCCGGGGGGAGUAUGGUUGCAAAGCUGAAACUUAAAGGAAUUGACGGAAGGGCACCACCAGGAGUGGAGCCUGCGGCUUAAUUUGACUCAACACGGGAAACCUCACCCGGCCCGGACACGGAAAGGAUUGACAGAUUGAUAGCUCUUUCUCGAUUCCAAGGAUUGAACUCACAACCCUGGGUUUAGCAGGCCAAUGCUCAAACCACUGAGUUAUCCCUCCCCUCACUCAGCAAGGGCAGCAACUGGCUUCUCCUCUCUCUGCUCCUCACCUUGAUCCCAGGAGGGUCAGUC